AACGAACGCUAGCGGCAUGCCUAACACAUGCAAGUCGAACGAGACCUUCGGGUCUAGUGGCGCACGGGUGCGUAACGCGUGGGAAUCUGCCCUCUGGUACGGAAUAACUCAGGGAAACUUGAGCUAAUACCGUAUAAUGACUUCGGUCCAAAGAUUUAUCGCCUGAGGAUGAGCCCGCGUAGGAUUAGCUUGUUGGUGAGGUAAAAGCUCACCAAGGCGACGAUCCUUAGCUGGUCUGAGAGGAUGAUCAGCCACACUGGGACUGAGACACGUCCCAGACUCCUACGGGAGGCAGCAGUGGGGAAUCUUAGACAAUGGGCGCAAGCCUGAUCUAGCCAUGCCGCGUGAGCGAUGAAGGCCUUAGGGUUGUAAAGCUCUUUCAGCUGGGAAGAUAAUGACUGUACCAGCAGAAGAAGCCCCGGCUAACUCCGUGCCAGCCGCCGCGGUAAUAC
rnacentral:rRNA from 1 species